CUCGCGGCCGCCGCGGCCGCCUCAGGGAAGGGGAGCGGGGGGAUGGGCUCUGCAGCCGCCGCGGAGCACCCUUGCUGGGUGGCAUCGGGGUCCUCGCCCUCCCCCGGUUACCCGUGCGGUCUCUGCCCCCUGGACAGUCUUCCCCGAGACCGAAACCUUAAGUCAUAUUCUUUAUUCUUGUCUAAACUUAAUGGGUCAAUGUAUUUAUUCUGACCCGAAGAAGGGAAAAUGGAAGCAGGAACAAAAUUUCAUGGAGUUUCAGAAUGUCCAGUAUCACUCACGCUGUGUAGCGCUUUACCACUAUGAGAUUGUUUUGAAAUGGAUGAGGAAAGCAGGAAGUCUCCGAGUCUAAAGGAGGAGACGAGUGUGACCAGGCUGCUGGUGAGAGAUGGCAAGAGAGCUCAGUCCUGUAAGAGAAUUGGAGGACACA